rnacentral:rRNA from 1 species
AAAGCUCGUAGUUGAAUCUCGGGAUCAAUUUAUUGGUCGUGCUAUUGUACGUACUGGUAUUAUUGAUUUCUACCUUCUGACGAACCAUGAUGUCAUUAAUUUGGUGUCAUGGGGAAUCAGGACUGUUACUUUGAAAAAAUUAGAGUGUUUAAAGCAGGCUCACGCUUGAAUACAUUAGCAUGGAAUAACGAAAUAGGACGUUUGAUUCUAUUUUGUUGGUUUCUAGGAUCGACGUAAUGAUUAAUAGGGAUAGUUGGGGGCAUUAGUAUUCAAUUGUCAGAGGUGAAAUUCUUGGAUUUAUUGAAGACUAACUACUGCGAAAGCAUUUGCCAAGGAUGUUUUCAUUAAUCAAGAACGAAAGUUAGGGGAUCGAAGACGAUCAGAUACCGUCGUAGUCUUAACCAUAAACUAUGCCGACUAGGGAUCGGAUGAUGUUAAUUUUUUAAUGACUCAUUCGGCACCUUACGGGAAAC